rnacentral:lncRNA from 1 species
AGGAAGAAGUUCUCUCCUCAUCCAAAUCUGAGUGUCACCUUGGAAUURGGUGUGUGCACAGAUAUCCUGACCAUGUGCUAAAUUUAGCAGGUGGGAAGACAGGGAUACAGAACAUGACAGCGACCUGCCCCGCUCAUGAAGCAGAGRGGCAACAGAAACCAAAAUCCAGAAUCCCAGACUUGUGACCAGCCACCAAAGCAGUACUCCAGGGAUAAGAGUGGUGUAAGCAGUGACAGCAAAUUUCAACUUCCAAUAGACCUGCCCAGAGGGAAAGCAGGAAGAAUACUUGAAGACAGACACCGUGUUUGCUUGACAUACAAAUCACAGGUCUCCAUGUAUACUUCAAACCAGAGAUUCUGUCUCAGAUCUUUUCAAUCUAUGGGUAAAUUAUGACUUUUCUAACUUGUUAUUCUGAAGCCUCAUUUGAUCAUUAUGAUUAUAAAAUAAUCUCAUAACCAAAUACAUUUUAUGUGCUGAAGGAGUUCAAAAGCCUCUCUCUGUUUCUCUGUAACUCAUUUUCUCUGUUUCAAAUGAAAAUAAAUAUUCUUCAUAAAUA